rnacentral:rRNA from 1 species
UACGGAGGGUGCAAGCGUUAUCCGGAUUUACUGGGUUUAAAGGGUGUGUAGGCGGGCUUUUAAGUCAGUGGUGAAAUCUCCGGGCUCAACCUGGAAACUGCCAUUGAUACUAUUAGUCUUGAAUUUUGUUGAGGUAGGCGGAAUAAGUCAUGUAGCGGUGAAAUGCAUAGAUAUCGAGAGGAACACCUGCGGCGAAGGCGGGUUGCUGGGCUGACACUGACGCUGAUGCGCGAAAGCGUGGGGAGCAAACAGG